rnacentral:tRNA from 1 species
AGAGAAUUGACUGAGUGGUUGAAAGUGAUGAGCUUGAAACUUAUUUAAUAAUAUUUAUUACAUCCGUUCAAAUCGGAUAUUCUCUG